CAGCCGCCACGGGAAUACGUAGGUGGCAAGCGUUGUCCGGAAUUAUUGGGCGUAAAGGGCGCGUAGGCGGAUUGUUUAGUUAGGCGUGAAAUUCCCGGGCUCAACCUGGGGGCUGCGUUUGAUACUUGGUUGCUUGAGUGGGGAAGAGGGUCGUGGAAUUCCUGGUGUAGCGGUGAAAUGCGUAGAUAUAUGGAGGAACACCAGUGGCGAAGGCGGCUCUCUGGUCUGUAACUGACGCUGAGGCUCGAAAGCGUGGGGAGCAAACAGGAUUAGAUACCCCCGUAGUCCCUGUCUCUUAUAC
rnacentral:rRNA from 1 species